AGUGAACGCUGGCGGUAGGCCUAACACAUGCAAGUCGAACGGCAGCACAGUAAGAGCUUGCUCUUACGGGUGGCGAGUGGCGGACGGGUGAGGAAUACAUCGGCAUCUACUUUUUCGUGGGGGAUAACGUAGGGAAACUUACGCUAAUACCGCAUACGACCUACGGGUGAAAGCAGGGGAUCUUCGGACCUUGCGCGAUUGAAUGAGCCGAUGUCGGAUUAGCUAGUUGGCGGGGUAAAGGCCCACCAAGGCGACGAUCCGUAGCUGGUCUGAGAGGAUGAUCAGCCACACUGGAACUGAGACACGGUCCAGACUCCUACGGGAGGCAGCAGUAGGGAAUAUUGGACAAUGGGCGCAAGCCUGAUCCAGCCAUACCGCGUGAGUGAAGAAGGCCUUCGGGUUGUAAAGCCCUUUUGUUGGGAAAGAAAAGCAGCAGGUUAAUACCCCGCUGUUCUGACGGUACCCAAAGAAUAAGCACCGGCUAACUUCGUG
rnacentral:rRNA from 1 species